GUUCCAUCUCAGCCGCCCUCUGCCUCUUGGGUUUGCGUGGUUUUUCUGCCUCAGCCUCCUGAGUAGCUAAGGGAGGUGUCUUGAGAUUAUCAUCCGCUGAGGGUGGAAGCGGCCCCCGCAGACGCUCCCCGCAGACGCUCGGCAGGUGUCUUGAUAUUAUCAUCUGCUGAGGGUGGAGCUGAGGGUGGAAAGGGAGUGAGCUGACGCUCGGAAGGUGUCUUGAGAUUAUCAUCCGCUCAGGGUGGAAGCGGCCCCCGCAGACGCUCGGCAGGUGUCUUGAUAUUAUCAUCUGCUGAGGGUGGAAGGGCAGUGAGCUGACGCUCGGAAGGUGUCUUGAGAUUAUCAUCCGCUGAGGGUGGAAGGGGAGUGAGCAGACACUCGGGAGGUGUCUUGAGGCUCAGGGAGUUAUCAGUUAUAGAAUGUUGUUGAGUUGGAGGAGGUGGCUGGUGGCCCAUCCUGU
rnacentral:lncRNA from 1 species